rnacentral:misc_RNA from 1 species
GCGAGAGUUGCUUAUCAAGAAAAAAAAAUGGUGACAGAGUUGGCAGCAUUUCUCUGCAUUGUUAUUGUUUUUCUAUGGAUUUGGUGGAAUGGAAGAAACUCUAUAGCCAUCGAUUGGCCUAUUUUUGGGAUGAUUCCAUCGCUUCUUCGCAACUUCGAUCAUAUCCAUGAUCACGCCACCUCUGUUCUUCAACGAAGUAAAGGCACGUAUGUGUUCAAAGGACCUUGGUUUAGUGGCAUGGAUUUCUUGUUGAUUAGUGAUCCCUUGGACGUCCAAUACAUUCUGAGUAAGAACUUCUCCAACUAUCCCAAG